UACGAGUGCCCCAAGCGUUAUCCGGAAUUAUUGGGCGUAAAGGGUCCGCAGGCGGCUCUAUUAGUCUUAUGUGAAAUCUCCCGGCUUAACUGGGAAAACGCAUAGGAAACGGUAGAGCUAGAGGAUGUGAGAGGGAUGUGGAACUCAUGGUGUAGGGGUGAAAUCCGUUGAUAUCAUGGGGAACACCAAAUGCGAAGGCAGCAUACUGGCACAUUCCUGACGCUCAGGGACGAGAGCACGGGUAGCGAAUGGG
rnacentral:rRNA from 1 species